rnacentral:lncRNA from 12 species
AAUUUUAGAAGAGGAUGCAAGUGUGACACUAAAAACAUCAACAAAAACGAAACAACAUCAACAAGUCUCAAAGACCUUCACUGAAAGAGACUGAAAGAGGGGCACGAGUCUCAUCUAGAGACCUGAAGAUCAGAGCGUGGACUUUUUGACUUGAACUGGUAAGUUCACAGUUAAACCGCACUCGUGUUUUAUUCACACGAUAUAAAUAUCUCAUUCUCUGUAUAAUUAAGUCAUUUUCUGUGUUUAUAAUCAUCUGUAAUUAGUUGGUGGAGCUGGACUGAAGUAUCUGGGACGAGUCUCUCCCUGUAGAUUUGUGCUGUGUGUGUAUGAGUGUGUGUUAGAUCAUCUCACAUCAUUACAUACAUAUGCAAAUGCUGUGUGUUUAGUCUCUAAUGACAGUUAAAUUGUUCUUUUGUGUUUGUGAGCAGAACCUGCAGGGCAUCGGGACUGUUUGGAGAAAAACCUGAACAGCUGGUCUGCGGCGGCGUCAGUCGAGCAGGUUUUUCAGAGGACGGUGAGAGUGCAGAAGAGGAAGAGUUUGCCGGAGGAGUUCAGAGGGCAGGAACAGGUACGUCCAGUCUGAACCACCUGAAUGUGACACACCUGUUUCAGUGGGCGGAGCCACAGCAGGUGACAGACAACCAUAACACAAGACAGAAGGGACCUCGACAGCACAGAGACGCAGAGACGGUUCUCAGACACAGCACGCGGGAUGUUUAAGAAGAAGGAAUACAGUCCUGUCAAGGCUGGACAGUCGCAGGCCAAUGAGAUGCUGGCUGUGACCACACGCCUGCAGCAGAAUGCCGACCAGGUGGAGAAGAACGUCCUGCUGGCCGAUAAACUGCUNCACCUUCCCCAGCUCCACCUGUAUAGAUCUGCUACGGGUUAUUUUUAAUUCAACAGCGUAGCAGAUCUAUUCCACCAAGACUAAAUACAGUAACUUUGUCAUAUCCA